rnacentral:tRNA from 3 species
CGGAGCGUAGCGCAGCUCGGUAGCGCACCAUCUUGGGGUGAUGGGGGUCGCUGGUUCAAAUCCAGUCGCUCCGACCA